AAGACACAAACCUAAUUCUUUUCAUUUGUUGGAGCCGUCAAGAAAAAAAAAAGGGAUUUUUUUCUCCCACCAUCUCUCCUCUCUCGGGCUCUCUCUCCUCGCCGACCUUGUGUCUUCUAGCCGGACUCUCUCUCCCGCCUCUCCUCUCUGCCGCCAUGACAUCUCUCCUUGUCGCCAGCCUCCUCUCUCUCACACACAGCCGGAUCUACUUUAUCUCACGCCCCACACCACCAUGGUUGGAGGAAGCAAGGCACGAUGAGGCCGGAGCCACACUUCCAUGGGAGAUGAAGGAUUGAGAAGAAGCUUGAUGGUUAAGGAGACAGGGCCGGUGGUGGUGCGGCUGUGGUUGUGGUUCGGCUCUGGUGGUGGUGCGGCGGAGGAGGCAAGGAGUCGGCUGAUUUAUUUUCUAGUGUUAAUUUUUUUUUAGAAUUAGGUUUGGUUAAGUUUAGUUAGGUUAGCUUAAUUAGGUUUAGUUAAACCGGUUUAUUUAACUAAACAAGCUUAUUAUAAUUUUUUAGCUUAUUAUAUUUUUUUAGGCUUUUAAUAUAUUCAUGUAUUUAAAUAUGUAUCUGUAUGUAUAUAUAUUUCGUUAUAUAUAUUUAUUUACAUUUUUUAUUUUGUAUUUUUGUUAAUUUUUUUUUAAUAUUUUUAAAAGAAUUUGCGAGGGAAACUUUUUAUUGCAAAUCUAAUGCAAUUUUGCGAGGGAAUAUCCGACUCUCGCAAAUUUGCAACGAAAAUUAUUUUCUUGCAAAUUUGCGAUGGAAAUUAUUCCGUUGCAAAUUUACGAGAGAAUUGCAAGCGUUUUUUAUUUGCGACUAAGGAUUUGCAAGGAAACGAUUUUCCUUGUAAAUUCGUUGCAAAUUGCGAUUUGCAAUGGAAUUGCGAUGCUUUUUUCCCUUGCAGUAGACAUGUUUUCUUGUAGUGGUUCUUACACACUAUGUAGCUCGACAGCUCUUUCUUUUAUUUUAUUCAGCAUAAUUUAGGCAUAGUAGUUUUAUCAAUUCUUUUGUAAAUGUCUCUUCCCUCUACGGAUGAAUAAAUUUGAAAUUUCAUCAAAAAAAAAAAAUGUCAACAACGACCCAUUAACUGCAAAUGGUGUUUUUGAUAAACCUAAAAUGUGUUUCGUUAAUUCUUUUCUCAAUAUAUAUAGCUGCAGUUUAUUUACUUUCCCUAAUUUUUUUCUUUUUAAAAAAAAAAAAAAAAAAUUCUUUUAAAAUAAUAUUCUUAUAUGUUUCUAUAACUGUUAAUCUUCCAUGGUUGUUGCUAGCUAGUUGUUGUAGCUUCUUGCCAUUCCUCGUGGUCAUAUUGACUCAUUGGUCAGCUACUUCUUUUUUUUGCUAAAUGAUUGUUAGAACCAGA